rnacentral:SRP_RNA from 1 species
GCUGGGCGUGGUGGCGCAUGCCUGUAGUCCCAGCUACUCGGGAGGCUGAGGCAGCAGAAUUGCUUGAACCCAGGGGUGGAGGUUGCAGUGAGCCAAGAUCUCACCACUGCACUCCAGCCUGGGUGACAGAGUGAGACUCUGUCUCAA